rnacentral:lncRNA from 1 species
GUAUGGUCAGGCGGGAUCAUCUGCCAGCUGGAGGUCUCAGGACUGUGGAAAACCAUGUAUUCUAGCAGUAUAUUCUCUGGCCCAGCCGACCAUUACUAUCUUCAUAACGCUUAUGAAACUGUGCCUUCUCUAAGGCCAUUCACAGCUCUCGACUGGGCUAUCCUUCUUUGCCCUCUGUGCAUAAUUUCAUGCUUAUUUGAUCUCCCCAACCUCUGCACUGACCUGGCUUCUUGUGUUAUAUCCUAAACAACUUGUUCUUGGUUUCAUCCACUCAGUUCUCUGGAUCAGCCAGCUUCACACAGAAGUGACAGCACUUCUGAAAUCCCCUCUUAGUCACUUUUGUAACUUCAACCUCUGCUAAAGGUAGACACUCACUCUAUAGACCAGGCCUUGAGCUCAAAGAUCCACCUGCCUCUGCCCCCUGGCCCCCUCCACCUCCCCACGAGUGCUGGGACUAAAGGUGUGAACCACCACCACCACCACCACCACCACCCAGCUCCCUUGUUUUCUUAACAUUGAUCUAUUUAUAACUAGAGUGAGCAAAGCAGUGGUGGUGCACAACUUUAAUCCCACCACUCAGGAGGCAGAGGCAGGUGGAGCUCUGUGAUUUCGAGGCCAGCCUGGUCUACAAUAUGAGUUCCAGGACAGCCAGGGAUACACAGAGAAACCCUGCCUCAAAAAGAAAAUCAAAUAAACCCCCACAGAGUUACACCUUAUCCACUGCCCAAUGUCCUGCCAUUGGUUCCCAGACCAGAGCCUAGAGCCUGAAAUGGUCAUAUGCUCAGGCCCCAUUGCAAAGGACAGUGGGAAGGCACCUGCUUGUCUAACCUCUGGGGUGGCAAAGCUCGGGAGGGACUCCUCCUUAGGCAGCAGAGAUGCUCACUGGUGUGGGCUGUGCACACUCUGGUUUUCUUUCCUCUAAACUUGUGGGCCCCCAGGUUCAAGCUUUUAAUUUUCAGGUUUGCAUAUCUAUAAGUGCCUCCGUGUAUCUAUGUGGACCACAUGUAUGCCUGGUGCCUGUGGAAAUGAGAAGAAAGCAUUGAAUCCCCUCAAAAAGUGUUCUUAACCCCUUAGCCAUCUCUCCAGCCCCAGGUUCAAAUCCUGAGCACCGUCUGAACUAGUCCUGUGUCCAAGACAGUAUCAUCAAACCCUGCCCUUCCCGCCUUGUGCCAGCUCGCGCUUUUUCUUACAUCUGUAUGUUGAUGCUUAGCAGGUUCCUUGAAUGCUUGGUUUAUGUGCCUGGCUGGAGGAGACACCCAUGGCCUUGCAGAGGGAGCGUUCUGGUGGGAAAGCAGACACAACCCACCCUAGGCCCGUGGUUUCCCUGCAAGAAGCCCAGUGGCUUUCUGGAGGACACUUUUCCUGGAGGAAGUGACUCAAGCACAAGUUCUUGGUGGCCUCAAUUCACGGUCUCUUCCUGUUGAUCAGCAGUGGGCAGAGACCACCUCCCUCAUUGCCGCUUUGGGUUUGGACCGCUUUAAACAGUAAAGUGACUGUCGACGGCUCAGUCUACAGGGAGGAGAACAAAAGACAGGGUCAGGGCUGGGCAGACUGGACAGGAGCAGCAUAAGCCAGGCUCUAUGGAAUGUUGGGUGAGCUGCUUGAGGAACUCCAAGGCCUGUCCCACAGUCUUCCAGCCUCCGACUCUCCGGCCCUCAGCGAGGAAGUCCCACUGGUUUUUUUGGUUGGUUUUUUUUUUUUUUUUUAAGGUUUUUUGGUUUUUUUUUUUUUUUCUCAUUCCUGUCUUGGGAGCUUUCCCCAACCAGGAGAGUGAAGAUGGGCGGAGCUGUCACACCAACUGUUAGCCUGCCUUGGCUGAGAGGAGAGGAGGCGAGGAGGGAGCGACCACCCAGCUUUAGUCGUUUUAAAACAGCUCCUGACCCUAGAAGAAGGGAAAUGGAGAUGAAGACCCAAUUGACUUGCAGACUGAUCGAACACACAGGCUUCUCAGCCCACUCCCUCCAGUCAAGGUUAAGGCCUGGCAAAGGUGGAGGAAGAGAAGCUGAGGAGAAAAAGGCGAGGAGAGCCUAGGCACAGGAAGGCUUCCCUCCCUCCCAGUGCUGAUUUCCUGUGGACCAGAUUCCAGCACAGUGGAGGGCCAGAGCUCAGGGAACAGACCCAGCAGCACAGCAAGUCUCCAAGGAAAGCUCUAGCAGUCUCCAGGGGCUGAAGGCAGGACUGGGGAAGCGGCUAGCCAGGCUGCAGAAGGCAAAUGCUCCCAGACGGCUGUCCAGCACGCAUCCGCCUUCCUAGCCAAGUUUCCUGGGCUCCUGCCACAGAUCUAAGCCUCAUCCUGACAUCCUGCCCUCUGUGCUCUGGGAUGGCCCAGGGGAGAUGCUUAGCCUUGGCUCCUUGUCUGCUGGUGGAGGGGACACACACCCUUUCUGGACCACAGACCAAAAAGAAGACCUGACGUCAUCCUGAGCACCCCCGCCAUGCAGAGUGUGUUCGCAGACUGCCAACGGGCUGGCUCCGGCCAGCAGAAGUGAACAGAGGUGGAGGUUCAGCCUGACAGCUUCUCCCCAAAGCCAUGGAGAGAAAACCUUACCACCCCCACCGCCCAGCUACUUCCAGCAAGUUGUCCAGCCUGACCCCUCUAUUUCCCCUGUUGUCUCUUAUCUGGGUCCCUGAGACCCACCCCAUCUCCAAUAAAGAACAUUGCAUACUGUGCAUCCACUACUGAACAACAUAGUCACACCAGGCAGGGCUCCCUAAAGCCUACCUGCAUGGCCAGCGUGGUCCGAGGACAGUGUGCUCUCCCCACCCUGUCUGCUAGCCUCCAGCUUCAUGGGAACUCCAUUAAUCAUGGGAUUCCGAGAUCAUCAGAGCAAUAGGAUCACUCCGUCUCCAGGGGAGCACAAGGCAAGAGCCAGAGCGGGACUGUUCUUCAGUCAAGGGGCAGGGGUUGCUGCCUCU